ACCCAGAAAUAAAUGUCCAAAUGUCUGGGCACCCCGUGGCCCAGUACAGCUGACAUAAAAUUAACCAUCACAGCAGCUAAAGUGGAAAUCCACGAUUCUGGAUGACAGCGGCAAUUCACUUAACUCACCCCAAAGUCACAAUGCCAGCUUGGCCUCCUGGAAGACCGGGGUCUCAGACACUAGAGAAGGCCCAUGCAUUUUGUUCAAGAUAGCCAUCUUGAGGAAGUGGCCUCUCAGCAUAAUGCCACGUGAUAAUGUGGCUUUGAUAAAACUCUCAUAAUAAACUACACAGGAAGCACCCAAUAUCCAACACUUUUGUUCACCCAAGCUCAAGGAACUUUGCCUCAUGGCAUUGGAGUCAGAGAUAAGCUGAACUACCUACCCCAGCCCCCUCGCUGACAAACGAGCAGCCCACGCUGCAGAGGCUGGGGAACUGACCCUCAGUGCAGGGCAGGACCAGAACCCAGGCCUCCUGCAGCCCCGUCCACUUUUCUUCAAUAUCCUACUGAGGCAUUUUUGUCUGCAGUUUUGAUUUCUUUCCUACUGGAAGUGGUUUAACAAACAUUUUGGGUCAAAAUAUGCAGCACAAAUCCUCAUUGAGUAUUCAGCUGCGCCCCGUAGUUUAGCAGUUAGAACUCGGGCUCUCAAGCUGCCUGGGGUCAGAUACCAGGACCAGCAUUUAUAGCCUGGGAACCUUAAGCAAAGGUUACUUUGAUCUCUCUGUGCCUCAGUUUAUCUGUAAAAGUGAAGAUGGCAUCAAAUAUGUAUACACUGCUGAUGGUGUGCAGGCUUCAUAACAACCCUGUAAGCAAGCCACCACGAUAUCCUUGUUUUCCAGUUGUGGAAACUGAGGCACCAAGAGAUUAGGUGACUUGGCCAGGGUUGCACAGCUCACGGUUGAAGGACAGGGGCGUGAACUCCAGCAGCCUAGCUCCCGUCUGUGCACACCCGCUGGCCUCUCACACCAGCCUGUGGGCAUAUUUGUAAACGAGACCUUGAGCACACGUGCCCCGAAUAGUGCCUGGUGGGUAGCAUGCCAAUUAAGUCCUUAUUAAUACGCUGCUGUGAAAAGGCAUUUUGAAGCAUGACAGGAUAAUAAACACUGUGGAAACCCAAUUCUAUAUAUUCAUGGAUAACUCUUAAAAAUUCAGGGUGAGCUAAAUCUGAACAUCACCAUGAAAUAAUCUUACAUGAAUGCACAAUAAAAUGCCCUUCAUUGAGUUUGGUUUUAUGGAAGUUAAAUUGUCAGACUGGGAAUUCCCACACUUCUAAGACUGGCCUCAAAUGUUUUCUGGUCUAAGCCACCUUCAGGAUACCAGAGGCACUCCCUCUAACACAUCAUCACAAGGCGCACACAGGCAGGGCUAGCACCCAAGGCGGCAGAAGUACUGAGCCUCGAGUUUUGAACAUAAAUUCUGAUUCUAAGCCCGAAGUGUGACUUAUUACCUCCCAAAAUAAGGGCAGGUCACGGACGGCAGCUGUAUCCAUUUCAUUUAACCUGGGUUGGACUGGUUGGAAUGAAAACCCAAACGGGAAUUUGAAAGUAAAUGUAAUUGAUUCUUCACUUAAAAUUGGAAACAACAUUUAACACUCUCUUCCCGCAGUUUCAGGUAUGCUAAGAUAUCACACGAGGCCAAGUUAAAAUUAGAAUGUUUUCCUUUUAAAAUAAGCUCAUUAUUUUUAACCUAGUGGUUCAGUUUUUUAAUUUCCGCAGGAGGCAAUGCGUGAGACCACUCCGCAAGCUCCCCUUUCUGCUGAAAGGAGAUGCCUCUGACGCCCGGCCAGACCGGAGGCGGCCCGCCCGCGCGCCAAGACAGUUUGCUCUGGGGUCCAGGUCCCGGGGAACGGGGGCGGUCACCUACCUGCGCCCCGAACUGCGGCCAGCCCUGGCCCGGGGUUCGCCCGUGGAAGGCACAAUCUCUCCUCCACACCGGCGGUAACCCAGCUCGCCAGGACGCGGACCGCGCUCCUCCCUCCGGGCUGGGGCGGGGGUCCCUCUGGCCUCCAGGACCCCCAGGCCUUCCCACCAAGGGCGGGAAAACAAAAGUGAGGUGGAGAAACUGCCGCCCACACUCAAAGCCCAGGACGUGUGCCCGAAGACCCCCCUGGAUGGGGACAGAUGCCAGAGGAAGGGCACAGGCUGUCUCAUGCCUGGGAAAGGGGGCAUCCGGAACAGGGGUUUGCUCCUAACCUGUGUCUGCCGGCUCCACAGCAGACUGGAGGACAGAGCAACAUAUUAAAUGGCCCUAUGGGGAUGUAAUCAGCAAAAUCCAGAAUCUGGAAGCAAAUUUACCCAGUUUCUAUAAUAAUUUCGCAAAAACAAAACAAAAGAAACAAGAAGGAAAGAGAGGAGGAAGAAACAAAUAGAUUAAAAAAAGAGUUAACCAACUGCAGUGAAUGGAUGGGCCGAACUGAGAUUCUAAAUCAAAGAACAAGCUAUUUAAAAAAAUAAAUUUUCAUGAGACAAUCUGGGAAAAUGUGACGCUAACAAGAUAUUUGAUGACAUUAAUAAAUUAUUAAUUUAUUUUAGGUGUGAUAAUGAAAUGACACACACACACACACACACACACACCUCUUUUUAAAGCCCUUACUUUUCAGAAGUAGUACCAAAAUAUUUACCAAUUAUGUCUGGAGUUGUUUCAAAAUAAUUUGCGUUGGGGGGAAUGGAUGGGGCCAACAUAUAUAUGAAAUGGUAUCAGCCAGGGAUUAAAGGUAACCUCUGCAGCUGGGUGACAAGUAUGUGGGGUUCCUUAUACGAGUCUUUCUCCUUUUGUAAUGCUUGAAAAAUUCCAUAAUGAAAAAUGUUUUAAAUUACAAAUGUAAAUUAACCCAGCAUUUCCCCUUACAGGAAAUUAUCUCACAAAUAGACUUGCUUGUGGGUAAAUUGAUACGCAUACAAAAGGAGUCCUUGUAGAAUUGUUUGUAAGAGGAAAAUAUUGGACCAAGUUACACGUUCAACAGGGCCCAGUUAAGUACCGUAUGGUCCAUUUGAGAAUUAUUUCUAUAUGCAGCUGUUAAAAAGAAGGAGGUGGCUGUAUUUAUUGAUUUGGCAUGAUCUCCAAGAUAUAUCCACGAAAAGAAAAGUAGAGAACUCUCUAGAUAGUAACCAAGCAUUUGCGUUAGUAAAGAAAGGGAGGAAGGGGCAAAGACAAUAGAUGCAUAUAUUGGUGGUGCCUCGGGGUGGUCUGGGUGCCUGGGGGUCAGGAGUGGAAGGGAGAUUAAUUUUUGCUGUGUACUCUUUUGUUUCUUUUUAAUUUUGAGAGGAAGGCAGAGCUUCUGGGAGUGUGGGCCUGACUGCAGAACCCAGCUGGGGGGAGUCGGGCGGGUGUAGGAGGCUGGCAGGCCAGGGCCUCCUCCUGAUGGUGGCCGUCCCACAGGCACCUGAGAUCUCAUCGUCCCCGGGAAGAAUGGGAACCCAUAAAACAGGAGCCAAGGGGUCCAACAUCAGCACCUAACUGACCAUUUCAAUGAAGAUUGUUAGAGCACUUUUAUCCCAUUUAUGAAAUAGGAUGUGUCACAGGCAGUUUCACCUCCUCAAGCCCUGGGCAGGAAACCGGUGGAUGAUUUGCCCUUGAUUCAGAGGUAAUCACUCUUAAUUGCCUCGGAUGGUUGGAGGGUGAGUAAGAGUCUAAGAUCAUAAAAGCUGGCGGAAAGAGGGUGAGUUCUCGCCAGACUCCCCUGAGCGGUGCAGGGUCAGGAGGCAGGUCUCUGCGCGCUUCCCUGUGACACAGCACCAGACCCCAGGGUAGUGGCGGAUGCACCUGGGCUCACCUUUUCUAAAAGCAAAAGCACGAUUUGCCUGGAUCAAGCAGGAAAACCUCUAUGCAGAAUGACCCUGCAGGCAGGUGCUCACCUGCCUGUGCCCCUGAGCUUGGUGCAAAUGUCCCCUCCAGCAAACAGAAGGAACUUGGUCUGGUACAGCUAUGUUCUUGUAGAACCUGAACAUUGUUCCUUUGACUGCUGGACUUCCAGGGAAAGCUCAGCCCUCCACAAAAAGGCAAACUUUUCCUUCCCCUCCCCCCUUGGCCAUGCUCUGGUUAGGAGAGGAAAUGCUUGGCUCUUUCUUAAGAUGCAAAGUUUCCAUAUCCCGUUUCUCUUUCGCUCUCUCUCACGAACUGAUUUAAUGGAUGCACAUAGUCAGUGUUUAAAACCUCAAAACAUGACUGAUUUUCAGCCAAAUCCACAAACAACUCUAUGAUUCUGAGUUUGUCAUCAUUGGUUAAAGCUCAUUUGGAGCACUGGACACAAGUUUCCAUGGUGGCUUUGAUAACUCAUUAAGAAAGGUUGGUUUGGCAGCUUAAUAACUAAUAAAAUGACACCGUUAACGCUGCAGUUCAUUUCAGUCCGUCGUGGAGCGGGAAAUGUUGCUGGGCUGCUUCAGAUGAAAACGAUUUCUAUCGUGGACCCAGAAAAAGUCUGCCUCUUGCUUCUGACUUGAGAUCUUUUCGUCUCUGCUUCCAGUCCUUUCCAGCAGAGAUCCAUUCCCUUCUCUGCUUGCCAGCAGUUUUAGUUUUUUUCCUCUGUCAGCUAUUCCCAAAUCCAUUUAAAAGAAGUGUGGAUAUCCAAGGUCUGUGCAAACCCGGCCAAAUCCUAUUCUACAUGAACCGUGUUUGCUUUCCUAAAAUACCUGUAGCACUUGACCUCUGGCCUCCACCGAUUCUUCCUGGCGUCCCUGACACGGGGUUUCUCCUGCCUCCCGUGUCUCUCAGAAUGCUGAUUUUAAACCACACUUGAAAUCGCAGUUAUUCUUUUUGAAUUAACUUUAUGAGUCAACAUGCAACUUUAAACUCCCGGGCUCUCUCUCCCCUCCCCCG